GAUGAACGCUGGCGGCGUGCCUAAUACAUGCGAGUCGAGCGAACGGACGAGAAGCUUGCUUUUCUGAUGUUAGCGGCGGACGGGUGAGUAACACGUGGAUAACCUACCUAUAAGACUGGGAUAACUUCGGGAAACCGGAGCUAAUACCGGAUAAUAUUUUGAACCGCAUGGUUCAAAAGUGAAAGACGGUCUUGCUGUCACUUAUAGAUGGAUCCGCGCUGCAUUAGCUAGUUGGUAAGGUAACGGCUUACCAAGGCAACGAUGCAUAGCCGACCUGAGAGGGUGAUCGGCCACACUAGAACUGAGACACGGUCCAGACUCCUACGGGAGGCAGCAGUAGGGAAUCUUCCGCAAUGGGCGAAAGCCUGACGGAGCAACGCCGCGUGAGUGAUGAAGGUCUUCGGAUCGUAAAACUCUGUUAUUAGGGAAGAACAUAUGUGUAAGUAACUGUGCACAUCUUGACGGUACCUAAUCAGAAAGCAACGGCUAACUACGUG
rnacentral:rRNA from 1 species